rnacentral:rRNA from 1 species
GCAUAUCAAUAAGCGGAGGAAAAGAAACCAACAGGGAUUGCCCCAGUAACGGCGAGUGAAGCGGCAACAGCUCAAAUUUGAAAUCUGGCCUCGUGCCCGAGUUGUAAUUUGUAGAGGAUGCUUUUGGCGACGCGCCUUCCGAGUUCCCUGGAACGGGACGCCAUAGAGGGUGAGAGCCCCGUCCGGUCGUGCGCCUAGCCUCUGUAAAGCUCCUUCGACGAGUCGAGUAGUUUGGGAAUGCUGCUCUAAAUGGGAGGUAUACGUCUUCUAAAGCUAAAUACCGGCCAGAGACCGAUAGCGCACAAGUAGAGUGAUCGAAAGAUGAAAAGCACUUUGAAAAGAGGGUUAAAUAGUACGUGAAAUUGCUGAAAGGGAAGCGCUUAUGACCAGACUUGGGCGCGGCGGAUCAUCCGGCGUUCUCGCCGGUGCACUCCACCGCCCCAGGCCAGCAUCAGUUCGCGCCGGGGGACAAAGGCUUCGGGAAUGUGGCUCUCUCGGGAGUGUUAUAGCCCGCUGCGUAAUACCCUGGCGCGGACUGAGGUCCGCGCUCUGCAAGGAUGCUGGCGUAAUGGUCAUCAGUGACCCGUCUUGAAACACGGACCAAGGAGUCGUCUUCGUAUGCGAGUGUUCGGGUGUCAAACCCCUACGCGGAAUGAAAGUGAACGUAGGAGAGAGCUUCGGCGCAUCUCCGACCGAUCCUGAUGUUCUCGGAUGGAUUUGAGUAAGAGCAUACGGGGCCGGACCCGAAAGAAGGUGAACUAUGCCUGUGUAGGGUGAAGCCAGAGGAAACUCUGGUGGAGGCUCGCAGCGGUUCUGACGUGCAAAUCGAUCGUCAAACAUGGGCAUGGGGGGCGAAAGACUAAUCGAACCUUCUAGUAGCUGGUUUCCGCCGAAGUU